rnacentral:rRNA from 1 species
GAAACGACUGCUAAGACUGGAUAGGAGAUAAGAAGGCAUCUUCUUAUUUUUAAAAGACCUAGCAAUAGGUAUGCUUAGGGAAGAGCUUGCGUCACAUUAGUUAGUUGGUGGGGUAAUGGCCUACCAAGACGAUGAUGUGUAGCCGGGCUGAGAGGUCGAACGGCCACAUUGGGACUGAGACACGGCCCAAACUCCUACGGGAGGCAGCAGUAAGGAAUUUUCGGCAAUGGAGGAAACUCUGACCGAGCAAUGCCGCGUGAACGAUGAAGUAUUUCGGUACGUAAAGUUCUUUUAUUAGGGAAGAAAAGAUGGUGGAAAAACCAUUAUGACGGUACCUAAUGAAUAAGCCCCGGCUAACUAUGUGCCAGCAGCCGCGGUAAUACAUAGGGGGCAAGCGUUAUCCGGAAUUAUUGGGCGUAAAGGGUGCGUAGGCGGUUAAAUAAGUUUAUGGUCUAAGUGCAACGCUCAACGUUGUGAUGCUAUAAAAACUGUUUAGCUAGAGUUGGAUAGAGGCAAGUGGAAUUCCGUGUGUAGUGGUAAAAUGCGUAAAUAUACGGAGGAACACCAGAAGCGAAGGCGGCUUGCUGGGUCUUAACUGACGCUGAGGCACGAAAGCGUGGGGAGCAAACAGGAUUAGAUACCCUGGUAGUCCACGCCCUAAACGAUGAGUACUAAACGUUGGAUAAAACCAGUGUUGAAGUUAACACAUUAAGUACUCCGCCUGAGUAGUACGUACGCAAGUAUGAAACUUAAAGGAAUUGACGGGACUCCGCACAAGCGGUGGAUCAUGUUGUUUAAUUCGAAGGUACCCGAAAAACCUCACCAGGUCUUGACAUGCUUUUGCAAAGCUGUAGAAAUACAGUGGAGGUUAUCAGAAGCACAGGUGGUGCAUGGUUGUCGUCAGCUCGUGUCGUGAGAUGUUGGGUUAAGUCCCGCAACGAGCGCAACCCUUGUUGUUAAUUGCCAUCAUUAAGUUGGGGACUUUAGCAAGACUGCCAAUGAUAAAUUGGAGGAAGGUGGGGACGACGUCAAAUCAUCAUGCCCCUUAUGACCUGGGCUACAAACGUGAUACAAUGGCUGUUACAAAGGGUAGCUAAAGCGUAAGCUUUUGGCGAAUCUCAAAAAAGCAGUCUCAGUUCGGAUUGAAGUCUGCAACUCGACUUCAUGAAGUUGGAAUCGCUAGUAAUCGCGAAUCAGCAUGUCGCGGUGAAUACGUUCUCGGGGUUUGUACACACCGCCCGUCA